rnacentral:ncRNA from 1 species
UGAAAAGCGAAGAAGAUGCAUAGUAGAAAAGUAAGACCCAAUAGAGAGAAGGUAUCACCGGCUGCAAGUACCUUUUGGCAAUCUUAUUUUUUGAAUUUCACAUUGGAGCUUUAUCUUUGAAAUGAUUAAAAGUAGAAGAUAACGGUGGCAACGUUAGAGCUAAUUGAGUGUUUAUACCUUUGGUAUAAAAAUUUGGGUGGUAUCGCGGAGACUAUAAGCUUCGUCCCUUUU